GGUAAGGCUGACAAAACACAAGAGAUGAUACAUGGAGAAAGGUGCGGAGAUGCCACUACAGAAAAAAGCUACAUAUGGAGUCAUAGGCAAUGAAGAAAAUGAGGCAGAACAUCAAGAGACGAUAACUACAACAACAAACAAGAACAACGAAACACAAAACAUGCAAGGAUUGUUUGAUGCGCCUACCUUUCACUGCUCACACAAGACACCGAAUUAGGUGAUGAUGUCGAUGAUACGCAUAAUACAGAAGCUUCCGUACCAACUAUGAUACAAAAAAAAGUGAUGACAAAAAUCAAGAAGGGAAGGGAACGGCUGAAAAUGAUAUCACACGUAAUGCUUGGGUAAAGGAACUUGAAUCAAGGCGAAGAAAACCAGU